UGAAGGUCAAAGUUGUGUCUUCUGCA
rnacentral:piRNA from 1 species